rnacentral:rRNA from 1 species
CGGAGGAUCCAAGCGUUAUCCGGAAUCAUUGGGUUUAAAGGGUCCGUAGGCGGGUUUAUAAGUCAGUGGUGAAAGACCCACUCGCUCAACGAUGGAACGGCCAUUGAUACUGUAGAUCUUGAAUUAUUAGGAAGUAACUAGAAUAUGUAGUGUAGCGGUGAAAUGCUUAGAGAUUACAUGGAAUACCAAUUGCGAAGGCAGGUUACUACUAAUGGAUUGACGCUGAUGGACGAAAGCGUGGGUAGCGAACAGGAUUAGAUACCCUGGUAGUCCACGCCGUAACGAUGGAUACUAGCUGUUCGGAGCAAUCUGAGUGGCUAAGCGAAAGUGAUAAGUAUCCCACCUGGGGAGUACGUUCGCAAGAAUG